UCACAGCAGCGCUGACAGGAGUGUUUUCUACAAGUGCGGUGGAAACUGAUAAUUCAAACUUCCAAACUUUGAAAAUCUCCAAGAAGCCACUGUUUCAGUAUCCAGAAAUGGCCUCCUCUGUUUUUCGGCGUGAAAAGUACCUGCUCACACUUUCCAUCGUCCGUAUAGUGGAUAAACGCUAUGCUCACUUGGUGUUUCCAGAGUCAGCACGUCAGAUGCUCGUUACAAACCUGAGAAACCGUCCUUUGAGCAGCAGCAGCAUCGACUCUAUGGACAACCUGAUCCUCAGCCUCUACCAUAACUUGGUUACCGGGUACAAGGAUUUUCCUUAUAUCUCAAAGGAUUCUUCGACUCAGUCCAGGUGACGACACCCUUUGCCCACGCGGGGCAUAGGGAGAAUGCCAUUCCAUCUCCACUUACAGACUCGCCACCUGGCGUGAUGGUGCCUCCUGCAGGCUCUGACUUCCCUCCCCAAAUCCUAACUCCAGGUCUUCCCGAGAAGGCGGAUAUGUCUGUGGCAAAGGCAGACUGGAGGAACUGUGUCCGCACUCUGGAUAUUGACGGCAUCACAGUCACCAGAGCCAUCUCCACCAUUUACCACACAGAAGACAUUGAGAUGACAAACCGGUGGAGAGUAACGGACUACAGCCCAGAAGGCAAUGUCCUCAUGUCGGUGCUCUGUCAGUGUUUAAAGAGAUUGGCGCGGCUCGCAAAGAGAAAGGCUACAAAAGAAGAGAGUGAUAGCAGGAGCCCCACUCCGCCGAAGAAGUGCUUGAGAGUGUGAAGCUUCUGAGGGAUUAUUACUGUACAUAUAUAUGUAUAUAGUUUGAUUAGUGAGAUACACAGGUCAGCAAUUUCGGUGCGUCUUGCAUGUUUCUUGAUUUCUUGGUGCUGGCCUGUGUGUCUGAGAUGACUACAAGUAAAAGAAGAUGACUAAUUGUACAAAAUGAACUCAAGAUCCAUAAAAACAGUUUGAAGUGUUGAUCAUCUUCUCCUGCACUUCACACAAGAACCAGAAAGAUGAAAGUGUCAGAAGAAGAGGCAACAUGAAGAAAGAAAAAAAAAACACACACAAAACAGUUCCCCUCAUUAAAAUGAGAGCAGAGGUAAUAACAUCGGGAGAAAGAUUCAAAGACAACUGAGUCUUCAGUGCACCGUGAACCGCAGUCACCUCACAGCAAGAAAGUCCUCGUGCCUGAGUGGG